GGUAAAAGACAGUUAGACAGCAGAAAGGUCAUAGAAUUUUUAAUAUAGGGGUGCAAUCCGAAUAUUGAUAAAUAAUCUAGUUUAUGACUAUUUAGUUGAAUCUGUGAUAGCUUUAAGGGAAACUGGGAUUUGAUACCCCAUUAUUUUUAGCUGUAAAUUCAAUUUUAUAUAAUUUACCAGAGUACUACGAACAAUUAAGUUUAAAACUCAAAGGGCUUGGCGGUAUUUUAGACCACUUAGGGGAACCUGUCUCAUAAUCGAUGAUCCACGUUAAACCUGACCUUUUUUUGCAUUCAGCUUGUAUACCGUCGUCCUCAGGUAACUUCUAAAAAAUUAAAAGUUAGCGAAAGAAUUUAUAAAUUAUAAUGUCAGAUCAGGGUGCAGCUUAUAAAAAGGGGAGGAUGGGUUACAAUUAUAUAAUCAUAACUACGGAAGACUGUUAGAAUUAAUUGAUCUGAAGGAGGACUUAAAAGUAAUAUUUAAAUAUAUAAAUUAUAUGAAUAAGGCUCUGAAAUGUG
rnacentral:rRNA from 1 species